rnacentral:rRNA from 1 species
UCUUCCCCAAUGGGCGCAAGCCUGAGGGAGCGAUACCGCUUGAAGGACGAAGCGUUUCGGCGUGUAAACUUCUGAACUCGGGACGAUAAUGACGGUACCGAGGUAAUAGCACCGGCUAACUCCGUGCCAGCAGCCGCGGUAAUACGGAGGGUGCAAGCGUUACCCGGAUUUACUGGGUGUAAAGGGCGUGUAGGCGGUCAUAUAAGUCCGAUGCUAAGACUAGGCUCAACCUCAGGGGUGCGUUGAUACUGUGUACAGCAUCGAGAGGGAGCGAAUUCUCGAGAGCGGUAAAUGCGCAGUCCAGGGAACGCCAAUGAAAGAGCUCCUGGCGUUUGGCGUGGGCAAAUCGUACUU